rnacentral:rRNA from 1 species
GUGGGGAAUCUUGCGCAAUGGGCGAAAGCCUGACGCAGCGACGCCGCGUGGGGGAUGAAGGUCUUCGGAUCGUAAACCCCUGUUGCCCGGGACGAAUGCCCUAUUUGUAGGGAGCGACGGUACCGGGUGAGGAAGCACCGGCUAACUCUGUGCCAGCAGCCGCGGUAAUACAGAGGGUGCGAGCGUUGUCCGGAAUCACUGGGCGUAAAGGGCGCGUAGGUGGCCUGCGAAGCGUGCGGUGAAAGCCCGGAGCUCAACUCCGGGUCGGCCGUGCGAACUGGCGGGCUUGAGCACGGUAGAGGCUAAUGGAAUUCCGGGUGUAGCGGUGGAAUGCGUAGAGAUCCGGAAGAACACCGGUGGCGAAGGCGAUUAGCUGGGCCGGUGCUGACACUGAGGCGCGACAGCGUGGGGAGCAAACAGGAUUAGAUACCCCAGUAGUCC